ACUCGAGUCUUUGACGCAAGUUGCGCCCAAAGCCAUUAGGUUGAGGGCACGCCUGCCUGGGUGUCACACAUCGCCACCCCCCACACCGAAACGUGCGGCGGGGUGAAAGCUGACCUCCCGCGAGCCAGUUUCUCGUGGUUGGUUGAAAAGUAAGUUCACGGUGGAGUCCCCCGCGAUAAAAGGUGGAUGGGCGACGCCCGAGACCAAUCGUGCGGUGCGACUCCAACGUAUCGGACUUGUGUUGACCCACGCGUCCCGUGUGCAAACCGAGGGCGCCAUCUGCGAGACCUCAGGUCAGGCGGGGCUACCCGCUGAGUUUAAGCAUAUCAAUAAGCGGAGGAAAAGAAACUAACAAGGAUUCCCCUAGUAACGGCGAGCGAACCGGGAAGAGCCCACCAUGAGAAUCGGUCGCCUUCGGCGUUCGAAUUGUAGUCUG
rnacentral:rRNA from 1 species